rnacentral:lncRNA from 1 species
GAGGUGGACUUGUCUGCCGGGCCAUUUCCUUCCCACCUAAGCUCCUGCCAGAUGGCUCCCAGUUGCUGUGUUUGAGCCCAGGCUGACCACUUCCUAGGCAGUGGCGUUGGAGAUGGGUGUGGCCUUGCCUCCAGGAUCUCCUCACAGCUUGUGCUUCCUGACAGCUGUGGACACUUGGGCUGACUGCAGACCUCCCGCUACCCUGAUUUCCAGCAAGUGAGCCAGCGCCAUGAGGAGUGGCUGCCUCUUGAAUCCUGUCAGUCUCCGGCAGAUCCGAUUACAUCUGGGACCCUUAAGAGUACUUGAAGCAAACGGCGCUGGUCUAUUUUAAUCCUGCUCCUUCUAGAAACUAGAAACUGUAAGGAGAGUCUUCCUGCUGACAGGAAAGAACUAUUCCUUCCAGCCCAGAACACUGUCUCUGAACAGCAAGAUGGCUUUGAAACGCUUUCACAACGAAGCAAUACUUCCAAUUUGUUAAGCACAUGUGACUCAGCCACACCAUGGAACUCACUAGGAUUGAAGGUCUGCCUCAAGCAACUUAUUCCAGUUCUCUGGCUACGUUUGCUGUAUGCCCUAUACAUCUUAUUUCUACAGGAAUGGCAGUUUGGGGCAUUUGAAAAAGUUGAAGUUCCCUGUUGCAUGUCCUUGGUCCCCAAAUCCAAGGAUUGUAAUUGUCCCCAGACUGUAUUGCUUGCAGAAAGAUAGGACACAGUAUUUGAAACCAAUGGGCUAAAUUUUGCUAAAUAACAUCUUGUUUUAUUUAUUCACAAAUAAAAAUAAUUUUGAGAUACUCUAU